GAGCGGAUGGAGGCGGAGGCGGAUCUUUGAUGACCUAAAAAACCAAACAUGCAAAAACCUGUGAAUUCUAAGGAGUUCCCUCAAUACUGAAAAGAAGCAAUGGUCAAGUGAGAGGAAGAGGAAGGCCACAAUCCUCGUGAAGGAUGAUGAUAAGAACUGAAGACCCAGGCAUUGUUCCACAGGUUAAUUACCUGUGAGUGAUGAAAAUGCUAUUGGAAAAAUGCAUGGUGUUGAGCAGAAGGCUGUGUCCUGUAUGCGUAUGUGCCUAACGGGAAAGCUGCGCUGAAGUCACACUUUUAAAUGAGGCAAAUUAAAAGCUGUAUCUAUUUGACAUAGAUUUUCAAAACCCUCGUUCCUGCCUGGUGUUCUCUUUAUUUAACUGCAACACUUCUAAAUAUCAUGACUACAUAAUAGAGAAGAGAGAAGCAAUAAGUGGACAGCAGAAAAAUGAGAUGAGAAAAUGUGUAUAUUGAGUUUUCAAAGGCACUAACUGUAUCAGUAUGGAGUUUAUCCUAAGAGCUAUUUCUGUUUUGUUUUGUUUUGUUUUGUUUUCUAAGACUAUGAUAAAGAUGUAGGAAGAUGUUCACAGUACCUAGCCCUAGGCCUAACUUGGAUACUCUACUCAACAUAGACCUCAUUAGCAGGGCCGAGAGCCUAGAGUGCUUAUAUAGGUGCCUUAUUGAGGUGUCUCAAGCUGCACAGAACUAAUAUCCUCCUGCAGGAUUAUAAUCUUCUUCCAUGCCA